rnacentral:rRNA from 1 species
GACGAACGCUGGCGGCGUGCUUAAUACAUGCAAGUCAACUGAAGUUGAGGUAGUAAUACUUCAACGGAGGUGGCGCACGGGUGAGUAACACGUAGGUAAUCUGCCUUUGGGUCUGACAUAAUCCCGCGAAAGCGGGACUAAAAUCAGAUGAUGCAGCGGCUCGACAUCGAGACAGUUGUUAAACCUUCGGGGCCUAAAGAAUGAGCCUGCGUCUGAUUAGGUAGUUGGCGGAGUAAAAGACCCACCAAGCCUGCGAUCAGUAGCUGGUCUGAGAGGAUGAUCAGCCACACUGGAACUGAGACACGGUCCAGACUCCUACGGGAGGCAGCAGUAAGGAAUAUUGCUCAAUGGCCG